rnacentral:rRNA from 1 species
GACGAACGCUGGCGGCGUGCCUAAUACAUGCAAGUAGAACGCUGAAGGAGGAGCUUGCUUCUCUGGAUGAGUUGCGCACGGGUGAGUAACGCGUAGGUAACCUGCCUGGUAGCGGGGGGUAACUAUUGGACACGAUAGCUAAUACCGCAUAAGAGUAGAUGUUGCAUGACAUUUGCUUAAAAGGUACAAUUGCAUCACUACCAGAUGGACCUGCGUUGUAUUAGCUAGGUGGGGGGGUAACGGCUCACCAACGCGACGAUACAUAGGCGACCUGGGGGUGUGGUCUGCCAGACCUGGACGGAGACACGGCCCAGACUCCUCCGGGAGGCAGCAGUAGGGAAUCCUCGGCAAUGGAGGGAAGUCUGACCGAGAAAGGACGAGUGAGUUGAGAAGGUUUUUGGGUCUGAAAGCUCUGUUGUAAGAGAAGAACGAGUGGUAGCGUUUAAAGUGCACACUGUGACGGUACCUUACGAAAAAGGGACGGCUAACUACGUG